CCUACGGGAGGCAGCAGUGAGGAAUAUUGGUCAAUGGCCGAGAGGCUGAACCAGCCAAGUCGCGUGAGGGAAGAAUGUCCUAAGGGUUGUAAACCUCUUUUGUCGGGGAGCAAAAAGGCUCUCCGGAGUCGUAUUUAGAGUACCCGAAGAAAAAGCAUCGGCUAAAUCCGUGCCAGCAGCGGCGGUAAUACGGAGGAUGCGAGCGUUAUCCGGAGUUAUUGGGUUUAUGGGGUGCGCAGGCGGCGUGUCAUGCAAGCGGUAAAAUAGCGGGGCGCAACCCCGUGGAGCCGUUUGAACUGGCGCGCUUGAGUUCAGGCGAGGUAGGCGGAAUUCGUGGUGUAGCGGUGAAAUGCAUAGAUAUCACGAAGAACUCCGAUUGCGAAGGCAGGUGACCAGUCUGCGACUGACGCUCAGGCACGAAAGUGUGGGUAUCGAACAGGAUUAGAUACCCGAGUAGUC
rnacentral:rRNA from 1 species